CACGGUAUGAUUGCUGCACCCCCAUGGAGCUCUCACAGCGCUUUGGAUUUUCGGCCGUCCGAUCGAGCUGAUGUGGAGCGAUCUCGGCCGGCCGUUCCGUCCAGGGCGUGAGGCCCUCCCGUGAACCCGCAUUUUAUCCAUGGGUCGCUAAAAAGCCCGCUCGGCCCGAUGUCGCGCUCCACCAAUCCCUCGCUUCCGGUAGGAAACCUACCCAAUCCCUGGCCGCCUCGCUCGUUCUCCUCCUCUCUCCUUGCGCCCGCAUCCCCGCCGCCGCACACCUCUCUUCCCUCUCCUUCUCUCCCUGCACCGCCGGUUGAGAGCGGGAGCGGCGCCGCCGCAGGUGGAGCACGUCGCGAGCGCCGAGGAGCGUCGUUGCCGGUGGAGCCGCCGCUGGUGGAGCGCGUCGCGAGCGCGCGAUUUGGUGGUGGUGUUGUUUGCUGGGAGGGUGGCGGCGGCCUCCACUACCUAGGCCCCCAGCGCGAGGACGGCGACCAGCAGCGGCGGCGCUCACCCGCGGGUUUGCCGGCCGGCCGGCGGCCAUCUCUAUUUCCAUUCUUCCUCUCACAGAUUGGUCAGAGAUUGGUUUGUAUGCAGGUUUACCGGCCAGCCAUGAUGCAGUUGAAGCCCAUCCCAUUAGUUGGAACCACCACUUCUCCUUUCCCAUUUUUCCUCAAAUCCGGUAGCCAGGGAUCAAUCAGAUCUGCAGAAAAAAAACUUGAAAUGUGAUCUACUAUGUGCUUUGCAAGACCGGAUUUUAGUUAAGCACUGAUGCUUAUUUAUUACGGCAUGGAAGAAUGGUUCUGGAAAAGGGAGGUGAAUUUCUUCUGGUUCACCAUUUUGUAGUUCUUGUUGUCUGAAUUUUGUGUGAAACCUUCACUGCAAUAUCUUCACAUUAGGUUUCUUUCCCCUCUCAGACCCUUGCUGGGAACAUCUUAUUAUGUUUAUCUUGAUCAAGUUGACCCAAGUUGUUUGAUUUGAUGUUCAUUAUGCCACUUGAAAAUGUCAGCAAUGAAUCAUAAAGGUGCCACUUGUCUUCCUGGAAGAUCAAAUGAUUAAAUGUUUCCGACAUCCCCUCCAGAGAAGAAUCAGAGGGAAAUCUUGAAGGAGCUUUAGGUUAUAUGGAUGGUGAUUCAUAUCGUUAGGUUAUAUGGAUGGUGAUUCAUAUCUUUGGGUGCUUCUUUUCUCUUAUUUGAUAGAUCACUUCAGUUUCACAAUUUCUCUUGUUAUUUCAAUAAUUACCCUACUACUAUUUCCAGGUUGUUGCACUCUAUAUGCAUAGUGAGUUGAUUUUUUCACAUUUGUGCCUGCAAUAUCUGGUCUAAAUCAUUCAAACUGAGAUUUGGCGAGGAUAGGCUUCCCAUGCUAUUUUAGAUACAACAUUUAUAGUCGGUGCUACAUGAACUGAGCACCUACUGUAAAUAUAUUUAAAAUCAAAAUACAAUUUUGGAAACAGGGCACUAAAGCUAGCUCUGUUUUAGAUCUAAUCUUUUGCGAUCAAACCUAACCAAGAAACAACACAACAAGAUUAUGUCCAGCUGGGUGUACAUCGGCUGAUGAUGCCCACUUCAUUUCUAAAUGCGUUAACUCUGAAACACAAAUAGCUUGAAUCAUAUGGGAUUGCCGCGCUUGGUUGCCGCGGCUGCUUCGGUUCGAAUGCUCUUCGGUUGCUGCUGUGGUAAGCGUGACUUGUCUUGCUCUUCCUUCCAAUCUUGCAGCCUGGGUUCUUGGCUACUUGGUUUAGGUUAUGUCGUAGAUGAUGGCUCAAACUGGGCUUAGCCUAUAGACACGUCAGUGACAUAGGUCAGGCUCCAUUUCCUGCCAAAGAUUUAAAAAAAUCUCAGAAACUGAGUACCUGAGUGCUAUGGUCUAAACAGCAAGGGAAGGAACAUAAUUGUUCAGGAUCUCUCGGUAUUGUUAUUGAGCUAAAAAUAAGAUCUGACUGAUUUAGCUACAGCUGACUUUACACUGAAUCAAAAUGCAAAAUAAUGAUUUACUUCAUGUGUUUUCUCUCCUUUCAUUGUUCUUCCAUUGGUAUUGUCCGUCUUCUGGAUUAGUGUGUUCUAAUCUAACUACCAUGGUUCCCCAACAUCUCUGAUGUUUAUUUGCGUUCUGGGUUGUUGGCUCUUUAGUUUAGGUUAUGUUAUAGGUGAUAACUCAAAAUGGGGUUAGCUUAUAGGUACAUCAGGAAAGUGCACAGGAGGUUUUCUUCUUCAGUUAUACAGGUCACAUUAAAGAAUCACACCUGUGUUUGAACCUUCCUUAAGAUUAGAGAAUCACACCUAAUUAAUCCAUUGACCAAAUAUAUAUUUGUCAAUGAGGCACCUGUAGAAGGAGAGGGAUCACCAGCGGUUGUAUUUUUUAUUGUUGCAGAUUAUCCUAGCUUAUCAUGGCUAGCUCUAUUUGAACUCUGAAUAGAUUAACAGAUUAAAGAAUUGCACCUAAUUAAUCCGGCGACCAAAUAUAUAUUUGCCAAUGAGACACUUGUGGAAGGAGAGGGAUACCAAUGCAGACUGUCUAGAGGUGAUUUGUUGUUAGUUUUGUUACGUCAUUACGGUACAGACAAUACCACUUGGUUGAUGAUUGAUGAUGGUUUGCUUCUGCCUCAUAGUCAUGUCUAAAUAUAGUCUCCAAACGCUGCAUCCAACCAAUAUUUUUUUUGGGUCUUGGAUUUGAACCUACUCUUUUUUUUGGUCAGUUUACCUUCUGCAUUUUCACUGUUAGAGUCAUCUACUGUCCAUGUGUAUCUCAGCUGUCAUAUUUUGCUUGUCGUUGUUGUGUGCUCCAGGUUACUUGCUAAUGUGACCUGCUGCUGGACUUGCCCGUGUUGUCUUCCUAGGAUUUCUUCUUUCUCAGGAUGUUCGUCGUCUCCUAUUCUCCUCUACAUUUGUUGGACCUGGUCGCUUCUCACUGUCGGUUGUCGUACCAUGGCUACCUGCGUGAGGUGGGCGGCGAUGGUUCCGUCCUUGGAGGCGUGGAGCUUGAGAUCGCUGUUGUCCAAGAGGGGCCCGCGCCCACCCGUUUUUUUCCUGGUCGUCCGUGUUGUCUGGUUCGUAGUCUCCGUUCGAGGAAUCGGCCUGGACCUGAGAGAUCCCUGGACGCCUGCGCCUGAUCGUCUUGCCGCCUUCUGUUCCCACCUCGACCGACCACAGGCCUCUAUCUUAGCCUCUCGUCCAACAGCAACUUGACCGCUGAAUCUCGGUACUGUAUUCAGAUACUGGAGUUCAGCAAAGGUUUUCAGUUUGGUUUUGUUACUUACCUCCUAUGUUAAAAACAACAGGCCUUAACUAAGAAGAGUAAAGACAUAUCCUGUCAUAUGAGUUAAAGCUGCCUUUGUUUGAAUCAGCUUUAUGGAACGUGUUGAGAUAUCGCCUGUUGCUGUUCUGGAAGCUAUGAUGAAGGAGCUGCGACUUCCAGGCCCUGAGUACAUCCACGACGUUGCCGCAUGGGACAGCUUCACGACUAAAGUGGUGUUCUUCCCAUCCAUCCAGUUAUGCACGCUUCAGAGGAACCUUACUCACUGUACGGUUACCCGGCAAUGACUCUGGAAGCUGCAAAACGUGAUGCUGCUCGACAGGCUAUCACGUAUAUGGAGCAAUCUGAGAAGAAAGUGCCUUCGGGUUUCGCAGAUGCUGCUUUCGAGGAAGAGAAGAAAAGAGCGGAGUUUCUCCGUCAUGAAUUGGAGAAGAAUAAAGAAAAGUUGAUCCGAAAGUCCAACCAGCUGAUACAAACCGCGGCAGCAUGUGAUGAGUACAUUGACAUUGUAACUGAAUCAAACCGUCGUAUCAAGGAUAUUAUCCUGAAGAUGUUGACUCCAGGUUGUACCACUCCAGCUCACCAAUGUCAGAGUAGCCUCCUUGAAAUCCAGAAUAUCGCUAUUAGUCUUAGUCAACAUACACCUAAGACAAUUGCCAUGGUCAGAGCUGCAGGACCAUCUCCAUUUGGUGAGGACACUUUUCAUAAUGACCGGCUCUCUUCAUCCGGUAACUCAGAUUUGUCGUCAACGAGAUUUGCCCCUCCUGAGUUUGACUCUGAUGGACGUCCUACAGACUAUUCCGUGUAAUCGUUCUUAUCCAGAUUAGGAAUAUUGCUUCCCAUAUCUGAUCAUGGGCAAUAGUCCUUCAAUCUACUAUCCAAUGUUAAACUAGCUGCCAUACUUGGUUUGGAGGACAGACUUUGUACUGAAAUGGAUUAUCACAUUGGCAGCUUUUUUCAUCACACUUACGCGUCUAUUUCAUCUAAUUUUGUACCACAUUUGAUCUUUAUAAUCAGUCCAUUUAGUACACAGUCAUGAUCUUUGUGUAUUUGGUCUUCUGUUUUGUCUUUUUAGUUGUACAACAUAUUCUACGGGGAGAACAGAACUAAAGUACAUUUGAGGAGAGUAUGCUAUGUUUUCUAAUGAUAUAAUUUAUUAUAUUCGUUAAAUUGACGAUUUUAAAUUUUCACACGAGAUCUACGGGGUCGUGCGCUAAGGCGCACAUCUAAA